rnacentral:rRNA from 1 species
GACGAACGCUGGCGGCGUGCUUAACACAUGCAAGUCGAACGGAAAGGCCCUGCUUUUGUGGGGUGCUCGAGUGGCGAACGGGUGAGUAACACGUGAGUAACCUGCCCUUGACUUUGGGAUAACUUCAGGAAACUGGGGCUAAUACCGGAUAGGAGCUCCUGCUGCAUGGUGGGGGUUGGAACGUUUCGGCGGUUGGGGGUGGACUCGCGGCUUAUCAGCUUGUUGGUGGGGUAGUGGCUUACCAAGGCUUUGACGGGUAGCCGGCCUGAGAGGGUGACCGGCCACAUUGGGACUGAGAUACGGCCCAGACGCCUACGGGAGGCAGCAGUGGGGAAUAUUGCACAAUGGGCGGAAGCCUGAUGCAGCAACGCCGCGUGCGGGAUGACGGCCUUCGGGUUGUAAACCGCUUUCGCCUGUGACGAAGCGUGAGUGACGGUAAUGGGUAAAGAAGCACCGGCUAACUACGUG